rnacentral:ncRNA from 1 species
UCGUCGUUGCGAUAGUAAUCCUGCUCAGUACGAGAGGAACCGCAGGUUCGGACAUUUGGUUCACGCACUCGCUCGAGCGGGCGGUGGUGCGAAGCUACCAUCCGUGGGAUUAUGCCUGAACGCCUCUAAGGCCGUAUCAUUUCUAGUCGAUACCUUUAGGAGUUUCGAGAGUCGACAGGCUCAAAACAAUGUGACUUUACUAGGCGUUUAACGCUUGCGUACGAACGUCGCACGAGCCCUAUUUGCCGUGUGAAGCCACCGAUCGGCGGCGGGAUCGAUCCUUGCCACGUCCGACCAGGCUUCUAGACGGUCAAUUAUGGGUACAUUGUUGUUCGACGUCGAAACUCGGAAUUGUCUGUAGACGACUUACGUACCUGGCAGGGUGUUGUACUCGGUAGAGCAGUUUCCACGCUGCGAUCUGUUGAGACUCAGCCCUCAGCUUGGGGAUUC